rnacentral:rRNA from 1 species
AGUAAAUUGGUUAAGUUAGAAAGGGCGCACGGUGGAUGCCUUGGCACUAGGAGCCGAAGAAGGACGGGACUAACACCGAUAUGCUUUGGGGAGCUGUACGUAAGCGUUGAUCCAGAGAUUUCCGAAUGGGGGAACCCACUAUCUUUAGUCGGAUAGUAUCCUUACGUGAAUACAUAGCGUGAGGAAGGCAGACCCAGGGAACUGAAACAUCUAAGUACCUGGAGGAAGAGAAAGAAAAAUCGAUUUCCUGAGUAGCGGCGAGCGAAACGGAAAGAGCCCAAACCAAGAAGCUUGCUUCUUGGGGUUGUAGGACACUCUAUACGGAGUUACAAAAGAAAGUUAUAAAUGAAGCGGUCUGGAAAGGCCCGCCAAAGACGGUAACAGCCCGGUAGUUGAAAUGGCUUUCCCUCCAGAG